CCAAAUCGAUCGCUAGAAUGAUAAUUUGAUAACCGUUAAGCUCGCUGUGUUUCAGAGAGGGAGGAGAGAUGAUAUGUCACAGUCACGGUGGUGGUGCCAUGGUAGUGCUUUGCAGGCCUGUAUUGAAGAGGCCUAUGUGCUUGUCCUCCAACACGGACCAGCUUCGCACCCAACUCGAUCAGCUUCAUGCUGAGGCCGAAAGCACCAGAGCCAAAGCAAAUAGUGCGAGAUUGAGACUUAUGAGAUUAUCAGAGGCAGCAGAGAAACUAAAACGACAGGCUGCUGUUAGUGUUAUUUCUGGAAAAGAAAAUGAUGCAAGAGAAUUGCUUUUUCAAAAGAAGAAAGUUAUGCAGGCUAUUGGAAAGUCAAAAAACCGAAUUGAGUUGCUUGAUCAGCUUUCCUCUAAGCUUAAUCAGGUAAUUUCUGUAAAAGAAAACCAGCUAAUAGGGAAUGUGGCUUUCGAUGUUGAAGUUGAGACGAAAGAUGAUUCGAAUCCGGUUCGAAUUGUAUCUCCUAAGCUGGGUGUUACAGACUUCAGCUCUGAUGAUGGCCUGAAAUUUAGUGAUGGUCAAGACUUACAGUUAUGUUCCAAUGGAGAAACAAACCCGCCGGUUGAUGAGGAAGUCGGCCGGGACAUCUGUAAUGAUUCUAAUGAAGAGAGCAUAAUCAGGGGUUUGAAGGAUGUAUCAUCGUAUGAGGACUUCUUGGAACAUUUGGAUGUGAAGCUUAAUAAAAUUGAAUCAGAGCUUGUCACCAUUUUGAAUGUCUCAGCCUUGGUACUGAAUGAAAAUGAGAAGCCUAAUAAUUUUAAAGUGCAGCAAACGAUAGAGCUUCUUGAGAGUGUCCGUGCUAUUCGGCAGAAAAUCUCAGGGAUAAUGCAGAAGAAGGUGGAGAUCAGUUGACGUUUCCUUGUAUCAGUCCUUUUUCCUCUGGCAGUUGCUAGGGUAAACUGAGGGCAAAUCUGCGAACCAGCAUCUGCAUGAAGCUCCCUGGACUCUUACAAGGUCAUUCAUUAAUGUAACCUUGAAGGUUUGCCACUGUGAAUGCUCAGCAAUAUUUUAGGCGACAAAAUUGAAGAAAUCUGUUGUUUUUUCGCAGAAGCAGGGAGGUUGUGCUUUUGAGUACUGUUCUCAUCAUUCGAAGUCUUGGGAAGCAUUCUGUACAUUCAGAGAAUUGUUUAUCCAUUUUAUGUUAGAAUUCACACAUAAUUUUGAUUUCGGUUGUUGAACUGAACAAAUUUUCUGGUCAAGCAUGGCCACUGCACCAAGUUGUUUCAUCUGUAUCUGUUUAUCAGUAUUGAAUUUGAAGCUCCAUUGAUUUGGAACCGAA